UUUCUAAUCACUUACCCCAAAUCAUUUUCUAAACUAUUUUGCAAGACAAGUCAAAAGCUUGAUCCAACGUCAAGCUAUUUUUAAAAGCAUCUCAAAACCAACCCAUUUGAAAUGUUUCUUUUCAAACUGUUCCCACUAUCUCAAUUUAUCAACCAUCCGCAUUCAAAUCUUUUUUCAAACCACAAAACCACUCUAACUUUCUUUUCAUAACCAUAAAAAUAACCUCGAUCUACAUCGAGUGCAUUUUCCUAACAAAACUUCAAAAUACAUAAAAA
rnacentral:lncRNA from 1 species